rnacentral:lncRNA from 10 species
UGACAAAAACAGAAAGUGCUUUGGAAUCCUGGGGCCUGCCAGGAAUGUGGGCAAACCUGUUCCAUCCACUGCUGCCCCAAGCUCCAGACUCUCCCAUCUUCUCCCCCAAUCAGGUUCCCUCCCCCAUUCUUUGGGUGCGUCUUGGCUUGUCCUGCCUGUCUUCUUCUAGGAAGCCACUCAGUCCUGCCUCAAAGAAGGGAGGAAGGAUGUCACCUUGUCCUGGGCAAGUUAUUGGGCAAGACCAGGCAGCUCCAGUGCUAAUUUAAUGCUGGGAAGAGAGUCGGGGAACCUGCAGCUCUGGCCAGCUUUCCCCCAAGGAAUCCCAGCCCUACCAGCCUCCUCCCUGUCUCUGGCACAUACCAGUUCACAGCCAGAUCAGUAGAGCAGAGGUGUACAAUGGGGAGGCUCUGGCCUGAGAAGAGGAAGCCCCUGAGAGCAUUCAAAGGGUCAAGAGAGGACUAAGGCAAGACCUCUUGGGUAAGAGGGCCCCAGAAAGAGAGCCAACCCUGGGACCAGCCAAGGGAGGCAAGAGGUCCCACAAGUGAGCAGUGGAGGGCAUUCGGAUGCAAUGAUCUUUCAGCCCUAACAUUCUGGAAGUCUGAUUCAAAGAGUCACACCCAGCAAAGGAAAACACAGAGACUAGACGGAAUCAGUGAAGAGGUGGCUGGUCAAAAGCAGCACAUGUAUCGUGUUUUCAAAGCUCAGCAGUGACUCAGGAAGGCAAGACAGGAAGUCCCUUGGGAAUGGUCUGUAAACCAGGGCGAGGGACUAAGAAAAACAGGUAGAUAAGUCCCCAGGAGCCUUAAACAGCCCCCAAAGCAUGAGCUACACAUAUGUCACUAGACUCUGUCAGAACCUUUCAGAGCUGGCCAGGCAUGGUGGCUCACGCCUGUGAUCCCAGCACUUUGGGAAGCUGAGGUGGGAGGAUAGGUUGAACCCAGGAAUUCGAGACCAGCCUGGGCAACAUAGCGAGACCUUGUCUCUACCAAAAAUAAAAUAAAUAAAUAAUUUAAAAAGAGGCCAGGAGUGGUGGCUCACACCUGUAAUCUCAGCACUUUGGGAGGCCCAGGCGGGCGGAUCACCUGAGGUCAGGAGUUACAGACCAGCCUGGCCAACGUGGCGAAACCUCAUUUCUACUAAAAAUACAAAAAUUAGUCAGGCAUGGUGGCAGGCGUCUGUAAUCCCAGCUACUCAGGAGGCUGAGGUGGGAGAAUUGCUUGAACCUGGGAAGCAGAGGUUGCAGUGAGCCGAGAUGGCGCCGCUGCACAGAGCAAGACCCCGUCUCAAAAAAAAAAAAAAAAGUAAUAAAGUAAAAAAUAAAAAGAACCUUCCAGAGUUUCUAGAGGCACUAAGACACUAAAAUGCCAGAGAAAGCCAUUUUACCCCUGAAGAAGCUCAGCACUGGGAAAUGACUGGGCAGAAACGUGGCCCACCUGGCCUGCUCCUAGUCCCCAGGACCGGCCAAACUGAAGUAGGUUUCUUCAGUUUUCUUCAGGUUUCUUCAGUAGGUACCUGCUCAGCCCACAAGCCCAGGGAGUCUCCUGGGUCCUUGGUUCUUCUAUGCAGCCCAGCCUCCUUGUCCAGUUAACUGGGGCAGAAGCAGGUACCUGACUCACAGGCAACCACUCUAGAGGCCAGGCUGGGCCAGUCAGAUUCCUGAACUUUGGAAUUAGGACAAGGAGAGGCCAGACUGUUUGCCACAGGUCCUGGUUGGGUAAGGAAAUGUAGAUUUGCCAAGGAGGGCUGCUUGGGACACGUGUCUGAAAGACAGAAAGGAAAUUGGUGUUUUGAGAGAAGUGGACGGAAAGGUGGGCAUUCCCCCAACACCAGUCCUGAGUGUAAGGUCCUUGUGCGACUUGCCUGCCCUUGAGAUCUGUGAGAUAGUUCUAACGCCUUAUAUUGAAUUACAUUUUUUGCUUAAACUAGCUGGAGUGGGCUUCUAUUUCAUGUAAACAAAUCAAUCACUGAUAUAGUGAAGCCCGUCCUUCAAAGUUUCCCAAAUUAGACUUGGCAAGUCGGCAUAAUGGUAAUGAUGCUAAUGACACCCCUGACAUUUGAUUGGUGUUUUAUAAUUUAAAAGUCCCUAACAUAGGGGUCAUCACUCCAGCCUGGGAUGACUUGCCCCAGACCUACUCAUGCUCCAGACUCUUGGGGAACGGCAUCACUCCUAAAACUCUCAAUGUCUUCAACAAUAAAGUGGGGUUAAUAAAGCCUGUUUUAAGUGGUUGUUGCAAGGUUUGAAUGUGGUAUGCAAAGUGUUUAGCACUUUGGCACACAGUAAAAGUGCUCAGUAUGUGGUAGCCAUAAUAGUGAUUUAUUAUAUAAAGUACCUAGAUGAGGCUAGACACAUAAUCACUAAUCAAAAAUUAUGUAAUAUAAAGUGCUUACUGAUCAGUGCAGAGGGUUUGACUUGACCAGACUUAACAGGAUCACUUGUAAAACAAAGGAGUUUUAGUUGAUCACAAGCUUUAUGUGAGUCAACAGAAACCAUCACAAAGCUAAUGUGAUCUCAGGCCAUAUUAAGAAAAGUUUUAUCUCUAGAAGAUGGGAGAUGUUAGUCAUGUCCACCUCAGUCCCUAUCAGACAACACCUAGUGGUGGGGAGGGGGCGGGCUCUAGGAAGAGGACCUGUGACCUCACAACUUUCUAAGAAAAAUAAAAUUUCUUUCUUGGCAAGUAUGCUUGCACAUAUAGAACUCAAAAAACAUUCCUCUAUUUUUUUUUCCUUUUUCACUUAUGCCUUUGUCUUGGAGUAGUUAGAGAAAGCCACUGCAAUCAAGACAGUGUGGUAUUGGUAUACAGAUGAAUAAAUUUAAAAUGUCUGCCCUUUGGAAGACACAAGAGAAUGCAAAUACAAUCCACAGACUGAGAGAAAAUAUUUGCAAAUGAUUUAUGGUGUGGUUUGGUUUUGUGUCCCUACUCAAAUCUCAUCUCAAAUUCUAAUUCCCACAUGUCAGAGGAAGGGCCUGAUGGGAGGUGAUUGGAUCAUGGGGGUGAAUUUUCCCCUUGGUGUUCUUGUGAUAGUCAGUUCUCAUAAGAUCUGAUGGUUUUAAAGUGUGGUUCUUCCUUCCCUUGCUCUCUCUCUGUCUCUCUCCUGUCACCAUGUAAGAUGUGCCUUGCUUCUCCUUCACCUUCUGCCAUUAUUGUAAGUUUCAUGAGG